UGUCUUUCUUUCUUUCUUUCUCAAAGCUUCUCUCUUUUCUUUUCUUUUUUUUGGUUUUUUUUU
rnacentral:sRNA from 1 species